rnacentral:rRNA from 1 species
UACGUAGGGGGCUAGCGUUGUCCGGUAUCAUUGGGCGUAAAGCGCGCGUAGGCGGCCCGGUAAGUCCGCUGUAAAAGUCCAGGGCUCAACCCUGGAAAGCCGGUGGAUACUGUCGGGCUCGAGUCCGGAAGACGCGAGUGGAAUUCCUGGUGUAGCGGUGGAAUGCGCAGAUAUCAGGAGGAACACCGAUAGCGAAGGCAGCUCGCUGGGACGGUACUGACGCUGAGGCGCGAAAGCGUGGGGAGCGAACAGG